rnacentral:lncRNA from 1 species
UCCGGGCUUCGUCAAAAAGAGGCGAAAGAAUAAAUACAAUGUCGACAGGAGUGAAUAUAUAUAGACCACUAUCUGUUCCACAAUAAUCAACUUGAACAUUUUUAUACACUAGGCUUCCGACGCACAACGCGGGAGUGUCAAGAACAUAUCCACUCCGAUUAACUAAUAUGAUUAGAUUCAUGCACCAACAUAUACAGAUGUAAAGCUACAAAAUCAUUAACUUCUCUAACGUAACAGUAUAGUCAUGAACGUAUAUGUUUUUUUUCUGGAAUAUAACUCCAUAAGCAAAUUAGAACAUAUUAUUCUAGCAUCUUAACCUUGAAUCCUGCGAUAUCUUGUGUCACUCCAGUUAAACGUCCAACAGUAGCUCUCCUUAUCUUCUCCUGAACUAUUAUAAAAAUAAACAUUCAAAUCCUCAACUAAAAGUCUAAAACAAGAUCAUAAGAACAUUUUGUUUGUCUCGAAUAAAUAAAUUUAGGUUUUGUGUGAUUGUAUUCAAAGUAAUCAUGCGAACAAAAUCAAGAAAAUGUGUAACCAGGAAAGCGAGACACUACAAUUUGAUGAAUGGAAUGAAUCAAAGCAGUUUUCCCCAAGCUUGUUCAUGCGACGCCUAGGCGUCGCAUAUGCGACCAUGCGCUCCAGCGCAUGUAGGCGUUUGCCUUCAUGCGCUGGAGCGGGUUAGGCGGGUCCGGGUCGGAUCUGACCCGGACCCACCUAACCCAAUAGGUCUGUUUUAUUACUUUUUUUUUUAAUUUUUUUUUUUUAAUUUAAAUAUAAGGCCCAACCACCCAUUUAAAUAAGAGGUUGAGGGUUUUAAAAAACCCUAACCUCUUUUCUUUCUUGUUUCUUGCACCUUUUUAACCCUAAAUUCAUAGAAGUCAUAUAAUCUAUGUAUUUACAUUUUAAAUUUUAGAUUAAUAGGUCUAUUACUUUGUAUUGGUAAUUUCAGGUUUUAAAAUUUAUGUAUAUAUUUUUUUAAAUGUUUCUGAAUUUACCCAUAUUUUUUAGCAAAUGUAUACAAAUUUACCCUAUUUUCAGGCGACCGCCUAGGCGUCGCCUGAAGCGCCUAGGCGGCCAUGCGGUCAUGGCCAUCGCAUGACCGCAUGGUCGCCUAAAAAACCUUGGUUUUCCCAACAUUAGGUACACACAAAAAUAAGCAGAACAACAAUUAACAGCCGUGUAGUCGGCAGAACAUAGGGACAUUAUAGAAGAAGUAAGAAAUGAAAGAAGAUUGUACUAAAAACAUUUAGAAAUUAGAUGAAAAACAAACUUUCAUCGCUCUGAAAAAUUUAAGAUAGGUACAAAAACAUAAUUCAUGAUAGCCACUAAUAACAGUAUAAAAUUAUGUUUUUUAAAAAUCAAAUGCAAAUUUAUUUCCCCCAAAUUUUUUAGACAUUCAUUGCAGUAUUUCUCAUGUUUUAAAAAAAAAAUCAAGGAAAAUAUAAGGCCCAGGGCACACGGAAAUUUAAGAAGAAGCAAGAAAUAUAUGAAGAUGAUAUACAAAAAUAUUACAGUCCUAUGAUGAUGAUCUGGUUAUAUAGUAAUAUUCUUACAAAUAUAAAAAAAAAAUAUAUUCUAGCAAUCCAGAAAGUCAUUACACUAGUUAUAAUGUUGUAAAUUAAAAAUCAAGGAAAAAUAUGAAGUUCAGGGGACAAUGAGAUUACAGAAGAAUCAAGAAAUGAAAGAAGAUUAGUGCAAAGAAACACACAGUAUAGUAGACAUUGCAAAAAAAAACAUGGAUAAUACGAGUACUAUUUGAAGGUGAAAUCGAGUUGUACUGUAAAAAUCCUCAAAAAAUUAAAAAAUCUUGAAGUCCACAACGAUUCAUAUGAAUAACCAAUUGUUAUCUGUGGAAAAUGAUUAAUCGAAAAAGAAAUUUCAUAUCUAGUUAACAAUGUCUGUAGAGAACUGAUUAAAGUGUUGAUGAUUUUGGGGAAAAAUACCUUCGGUCAUUUGAAGAUGGUUGGGAGAUUAGAGCAGCCGGAAGACCUAAACCUUGUUGAUGAACGGAUGAUGAAUUGGUUGUAGAGGACUCGCGUUUAAAUAGAUAAACUUGUAAUCAUCACGGUGUGGGUUGUCGUCGUCGAUCGUCGAUCGUCGUGGGCGGAUGGGAGGUUUUCGCCGAUAGGUAUGGUUUGCUGUGGAAAAUAGCAGUCUGUUUAUGAAAUGUAGGUGUCGACUCGGUUGAACGGUAGGGUUGGACAGUGGUCGUAUAGAAGAAGGCAUGGUGGAUGGACGGUGACCGGUCAUCCAGCGGCGGACGCGACGUGAGCUCACCGUACGAGCGUGCGAGAGGGGAUGUAUUUUAAUCUCAGGGCAACCAUACCUCUACUGUAGCUAGCUGUAUGUACAUGUGGAUUCGCGUCUUAUACCAACGAAUUUUCGCUGUGUGGUGGGACGACAUCGAAGAUGGCUGUUUAACCGGCGAUUGGAAAUCAACGACAGUUAUCACCGGUACCGUGCCAUGGUAGGUACGCACAGGUACCGUUCAUGAUUAUUUUUGUAUAUAUAUAUAUAUAGGGCUGGUGCAAUAUCAAUGUAAU